rnacentral:lncRNA from 1 species
UAUUAGAAUAUUAGAAUUAUUGUGAAAAUAUCAUACAAGUCCCUACAAAUUGUCAUAUAUCCUAUUACUCAAUAUCCUUUCAAAUAUCCUCCCAAUCCUUAAUUCAUUAUUCCCAAUAUAAACAUUUCCUAAUCCCAUUUAUUACCACAAUUAAGGAUACCUACCAAACUCACCUAAACCAUAUAGCCGUUGGUAAUUACCUCUAUAAAUAUAGAAUAACACAACUCAAACCUUAGGUUUUGGAAUCAAAUCCUUGUUCCUAAAUCACCAUCUCUAUUCUUCAAUCUGUCCUCCGGGUUCUUCAAAUCUGUCUUCUGGAAUCUGUCUUCUGGAAUCUCAAGGCAUUGAAUCAAAUCAUCUGUUCAUCUGGAGAUUCUUCAUCUGAUCUACUCAUCAUCUUCAUCAUCUCAAGAUCUCUGCUGCAAUCAUCAAAUCUGUAUAAACAUUUAUCUUCAAGUAUUAUCAUUUAUAAACUGCUGUCAUUCUUAGACUAUUAUAAAUAAUAUCAUUCACAAGUUCAGUAGCAAUUCUAAUA